UACGAAGGGUGCAAACGUUGCUCGGAAUUAUUGGGCGUAAAGCGCACGUAGGCGGCUUAGCAAGUCGGAUGUGAAAGCCCCCGGCUCAACUGGGGAGGGUCACGCGAUACUGAUCGACUCGAAGGCAGGAGAGGGUAGUGGAAUUCCCGGUGUAGUGGUGAAAUGCGUAGAUAUCGGGAGGAACACCAGUGGCGAAGGCGACUACCUGGCCUGUUCUUGACGCUGAGGCGCGAAAGCUAGGGGAGCAAACGGG
rnacentral:rRNA from 1 species